GUAAGAGAACCACAAACACCUGUUCUUUGGUAGAUUCACCACAGAGAAUCACUUCUUGAAGGUCAAUUAUAUUGCUAAGUCAGUCUAAAGAUUUUCCGCCUGGGAAAGUACAGCAAUGGCAUCUGUUCAUUCUUCAACCAUCCUCCCAUAGCCUGAAAACAGAACUCGAACUUUGCUUUGGAGGAACCAUUUUUAAUCACCUCUCAUGAUAUAAAUAAGAUUGACCUCAUCCCCAAAUUUUAAAGUGGGAAUUGAUUAGCUUAAGUCCUCUUGUGAUCUCUCCGGCCAAAUAAUUGGUUGAAGACAGGACACAGAACCUAAACAGAGCCAAUGAAACAGAGGAAAUGUUUGUUUUGGCUUCUGGAAAUAAAAAGCUUCUCUCUUCCAUGGAGACUACCUGAAGAAAUCUUCUUUCUUUUCCUUGCCAGUGAGACGUGAAGAUGCAAGAUCUAGAACUGCUAAGCCAUUUUGAAACCCUGAUGGUACCUGAAGACUGUCAGGGGUCCCUGUGUAGAGUCUGAGGAUGAAAUAAACACAAAAGAUAAGAGUAA